GGGGCUGUGGCUCAGUGGUAGAACCUCUGCUUUGAAUGCAGAAGGUCCCAAGUUCAAUCCAUGGCAUCCCUA